UAGGGAAUCUUCGGCAAUGGGGGGAACCCUGACCGAGCAACGCCGCGUGAGUGAAGAAGGUUUUCGGAUCGUAAAGCUCUGUUGUUAAGGAAGAACGAGUGUGAGAAUGGAAAGUUCAUGCUGUGACGGUACUUAACCAGAAAGGGACGGCUAACUACGUGCCAGCAGCCGCGGUAAUACGUAGGUCCCGAGCGUUGUCCGGAUUUAUUGGGCGUAAAGCGAGCGCAGGCGGUUAGAAAAGUCUGAAGUGAAAGGCAGUGGCUCAACCAUUGUAGGCUUUGGAGACUGUUUAACUUGAGUGCAGAAGGGGGGAGUGGAAUUCCAUGUGUAGCGGUGAAAUGCGUAGAUAUAGGGAGGAACACCGGUGGCGAAAGCGGCUCUCUGGUCUGUAACUGACGCUGAGGCUCGAAAGCGUGGGGAGCGAACAGG
rnacentral:rRNA from 1 species